rnacentral:misc_RNA from 1 species
CUGGGAUCCGAAGCCCUAAUGGAGCUCGAGACAAAGAGGAUAUUGCUUGAUAUUUUCAAAGAGAAGCAACAAAAAAGUGCUGAAGCUGGCACAAUACCAAGUUUUUAUAAGAAGAAACCUGAAGAAGGAUCAAUCAGUCACAGGGUCCAAAGAUUGGCAAAAUAUCGGUUUUUAAAUAAGCAAUCAGAUCUUUUGCUUAAUGCUGAUGACCUGGAUGCAAUGUGGGUUUGCUUGAGAGAAAACUGUGUUAUUGAUGAUGCUACUGGUGCAGAAAAGAUGAAUUAUGAAGAUUUUUGCCACAUAGCCUCAGUAUGUACAGAACAAAUAGGCCCCAAAUGUCGACGGUUUUUUAGCCCUUCUAAUUUCAUGAAGUUUGAGAAAGAUGAAUCUGGAAGAAUUGCCAUUUUGCCCUUUUACCUUUAUGUGAUGCGCACAGUUUCACUUACCCAGGCCAGAAUAGAUAUGAGUGAACUUGAUGAGGAUUCAGAUGGUUUCCUCCAGCCUCAUGAAAUGGAGGCUUAUAUACGAGGUCUUAUUCCUAAUUUAGCACAACUACGCGAUAUGCCUGCACAAUUUGUUCAGAUGUACUGUCGCAUAGCUGCACACAAAUUCUUCUUCUUCUGUGAUCCUCAUAGGCGAGGGAAGGCCUGCAUAAAGAAGGUGCUCCUUAGUAAUUGUCUUCAGGAACUAAUGGAAUUGCACCAGGAAAGUGAGGAAGAAGUCACUGACACUGAACAAGCUGAAAAUUGGUUUUCUUUGACAUCUGCACAAC